CUGGGUCCAUAAAGAACUACAAAUACCGUGAGGCCAAGAGGUUCGGCGCCUGCGGAGAGGAGGAAGAGGAAGGCACUCGAAAUGGGGGCAGAAAGGCGGAGAGUCGCUCACGUUGCCUGCCGGGAGUUGUAGUUUUAACUGUAUGUCUUCUGUCGUCUUCCCCACUCUGGGGCCCAAGCAAAAUGAGUAUGAGAGACCACAUUUCCUAGGAUGCCCUGCGGUGCGACCAGACUCACUUCCCCCUUAGGCGGAGGGAAGAAUAUAGGGAAGCUUGGUUAAUAUCAGAGUUAAAGGGAAUGGUUGUCGGAGGCAGAGGUUCUGAAGUUCACGACUCCUAGAAGGGGAGGGGAAUGAAAGGCUCUCAGUGAAGAAGGUCCAGAACCCUUCAGAUCGACUUACCAAUAAGUUCAAUAUGUAAAACAGUUAAAAUUUGGUUCAAAUGCGGAAGGAUGAGAGUUAUUGCAACCUGGCAACACUCCCUACCCCCAUUCUCACCCUCCCUACAGGGAAGGCUCCAGGGAGUACUUUGAAAACCAUUGGAAAAAUUCUCCUCAUAAAUGACUUGAAAUGCCAUGUCUGUAGUAUGCUAUGUUAAAUUUUUUUACCCAUUCCAAUUAUUUUUCUAUUUUCCUGCCAGUCUCAUACUUUAAAUUAAUUUAGAGGCUAAGAGCUUUGUAAUAUAACAAAGGAAGAAAUUAAAAUGUCUAAUAAAUAAGUAAAAUAACAACAUGUUAUUUUGGGGGCCUGCAUAUUAGUGUAUUUCUUUAAAAUAAUGUCUACUAUUGGCAAGAGUUGGCUAGAUCACCUUCAACAUAGAGAUUCACUUGGUAAAACUAUAUAUUGAUCAAUAAUUUGAUAAUGUGUGUCACAAGUUUACAAGGUUGAUAUUCUUUGAUCCAUCAAAUCACUUAUAGGAUUUAAGACUAAAUAAAUAAACGGAACUGUAUAGGAAA